rnacentral:rRNA from 1 species
AUAUUGCACAAUGGGGGAAACCCUGAUGCAGCAAUGCCGCGUGAGUGAAGAAGGCCCUUGGGUCGUAAAGCUCUUUCGAUUGGGAAGAAGGGUUCUACAGCGAAUACCUGUAGGACUGGACGGUACCUAAAGAAGAAGCACCGGCUAAUCUCGUGCCAGCAGCCGCGGUAAUACGAGAGGUGCAAGCGUUGUUCGGAAUUAUUGGGCGUAAAGCGCACGUAGGCGGGUUUGUAUGUCGAUUGUGAAAGCCCAGGGCUUAACCCUGGAAUUGCAGUCGAAACUGCAAAUCUUGAAUACUUGAUAGGGUGGGAGAAUUCCUGGUGGAGCAGUGAAAUGCGUAGAGAUCAGGAGGAAUACCGGAGGCGAAGGCGCCUGCCUGGCAAGAUAUUGACGCUGAGGUGCGAAAGCAUGGGGAGCAAA